GUCGCCUCGUAUCUAGCAGCUUAGCUUAGCUUCCCCUGCCGAGCCCAAACGAGAAGACGAAGCCGGAAACACAACUGGGUUCUCUUCCGGGGCAAGAAAAGGGAGCGGACAGCUGAAACAAACUACGCUCUCCUCCUGCUGCCAUGAGGCCACGCUGAUGGCCUGGGCUAAAGAUGUGACGAGAGAGGACAGACCGAUGAGGUAGCCAUCCUCCCUGCUACCUUCAGACCACGGGACGUUGUGUCGGAGCUCCUGCGAGUCAGGCAGAGGCGUCGUCUUUCCGAAGUCUAUCAUCCAUACACUGGCCUUGCUGUGGUCGUGGACAAAGAGAAGCGAGCUGCCAAUCACCUGAUCGAUUUAAAAAACAUAAAGAAAACUCAGUAAGCCCUUCAUGUAGCUGAAAGCUAAAUCUUCUGCAAUCAAGACUUGAUGAGUCACCUGCAGAGGACGCCUUACCUGACUCCCAUCUUGCAGUCCAUGAUGACGGGCCUCUUCAGGCCACUCA